UACAGAGGGUGCAAGCGUUAAUCGGAAUUACUGGGCGUAAAGGGCGCGUAGGUGGUUGAAUAAGUGAGUUGUGAAAUCCCUGGGCUUAACCUAGGAACAGCAACUUAUACUGUCUGACUAGAGUACUGUAGAGGGUAGUGGAAUUUCCGGUGUAGCGGUGAAAUGCGUAGAUAUCGGAAGGAACAUCAGUGGCGAAGGCGACUGCCUGGACAGAUACUGACACUGAGGCGCGAAAGCGUGGGGAGCAAACAGG
rnacentral:rRNA from 1 species